rnacentral:tRNA from 1 species
GGGCCCGUAGCUCAGUACGGAUAGAGCGACAGCCUCCUAAGCUGUAGGUCGAGGGUUCAAAUCCCACCGGGCCCGCCA